rnacentral:rRNA from 1 species
AGUUGGGCACUUUAAAGAGACUGCCGGUGUUAAGCCGGAGGAAGUGGGGAUGACGUCAAGUCCUCAUGGCCUUUAUGCCCAGGGCUACACACGUGCUACAAUGGGCGGUACAAAGAGAAGCAACCUCGCGAGGGUGAGCAAAUCUCAAAAAACCGUUCUCAGUUCGGAUUGAAGUCUGCAACUCGACUUCAUGAAGUCGGAAUCGCUAGUAAUCGCGGAUCAGCAUGCCGCGGUGAAUACGUUCCCGGGCCUU